rnacentral:rRNA from 1 species
GAGUUUGAUCUUGGCUCAGAUUGAACGCUGGCGGUAGGCCUAACACAUGCAAGUCGAGCGGAUGACGGGAGCUUGCUCCUUGAUUCAGCGGCGGACGGGUGAGUAAUGCCUAGGAAUCUGCCUGGGUAGUAGGGGGACAACGUUUCGAAAGGAACGCUAACACCGCAUACGUCCUACGGGAGAAAGCAGGGGACCUUCGGGCCUUGCGCUAUCAGAUGAGCCUAGGUC